UACAGAGGAUGCAAGCGUUAUCCGGAAUGAUUGGGCGUAAAGCGUCUGUAGGUGGCUUUUUAAGUCCGCCGUCAAAUCCCAGGGCUCAACUCUGGACAGGCGGUGGAAACUACCAAGCUGGAGUACGGUAGGGGCAGAGGGAAUUCCUAGUGUAGAGGUGAAAUUCGUAGAUAUUAGGAAGAACACCGGUGGCGAAGGCGGCCCACUGGCUCGAUACUGACGCUGAGGUGCGAAAGCGUGGGGAGCAAACAGG
rnacentral:rRNA from 1 species